rnacentral:hammerhead_ribozyme from 1 species
AUCCAGCUGACAAGUCCCAAAAGGGGACGAAAUGCGCGUCCUGGAU